rnacentral:rRNA from 1 species
CCUACGGGAGGCAGCAGUGGGGAAUAUUGGGCAAUGGGCGCAAGCCUGACCCAGCAACGCCGCGUGAAGGAAGAAGGCUCUCGGGUUGUAAACUUCUUUUAUCAGGGACGAAGCAAGUGACGGUACCUGAUGAAUAAGCCACGGCUAACUACGUGCCAGCAGCCGCGGUAAUACGUAGGUGGCAAGCUUUAUCCGGAUUUACUGGGUGUAAAGGGCGUGUAGGCGGGAAAGCAAGUCAGAUGUGAAAACCCUGGGCUCAACCUGUGGCCUGCAUUUGAAACUGUUGUGCUUGAGUACUGGAGAGGCAGACGGAAUUCCUAGUGUAGCGGUGAAAUGCGUAGAUAUUAGGAGGAACACCAGUGGCGAAGGCAGUCUGCUGGACAGCAACUGACGCUGAGGCGCGAAAGCGUGGGGAGCAAACAGGAUUAGAUACCCCUGUAGUC